UGCAAGUCGAGCGGAUGACGGGAGCUUGCUCCUUGAUUCAGCGGCGGACGGGUGAGUAAUGCCUAGGAAUCUGCCUGGUAGUGGGGGACAACGUUUCGAAAGGAACGCUAAUACCGCAUACGUCCUACGGGAGAAAGCAGGGGACCUUCGGGCCUUGCGCUAUCAGAUGAGCCUAGGUCGGAUUAGCUAGUUGGUGAGGUAAUGGCUCACCAAGGCGACGAUCCGUAACUGGUCUGAGAGGAUGAUCAGUCACACUGGAACUGAGACACGGUCCAGACUCCUACGGGAGGCAGCAGUGGGGAAUAUUGGACAAUGGGCGAAAGCCUGAUCCAGCCAUGCCGCGUGUGUGAAGAAGGUCUUCGGAUUGUAAAGCACUUUAAGUUGGGAGGAAGGGCAGUAAGUUAAUACCUUGCUGUUUUGACGUUACCGACAGAAUAAGCACCGGCUAACUCUGUGCCAGCAGCCGCGGUAAU
rnacentral:rRNA from 1 species